rnacentral:rRNA from 1 species
AUUGAACGCUGGCGGCAUGCCUUACACAUGCAAGUCGAACGGCAGCACGGGUGCUUGCACCUGGUGGCGAGUGGCGAACGGGUGAGUAAUACAUCGGAACAUGUCCUGUAGUGGGGGAUAGCCCGGCGAAAGCCGGAUUAAUACCGCAUACGAUCUACGGAUGAAAGCGGGGGACCUUCGGGCCUCGCGCUAUCGGGUUGGCCGAUGGCUGAUUAGCUAGUUGGUGGGGUAAAGGCCUACCAAGGCGACGAUCAGUAGCUGGUCUGAGAGGACGACCAGCCACACUGGGACUGAGACACGGCCCAGACUCCUACGGGAGGCAGCAGUGGGGAAUUUUGGACAAUGGGCGAAAGCCUGAUCCAGCAAUGCCGCGUGUGUGAAGAAGGCCUUCGGGUUGUAAAGCACUUUUGUCCGGAAAGAAAUCCUUGGCCCUAAUACGGUCGGGGGAUGACGGUACCGGAAGAAUAAGCACCGGCUAACUACG